rnacentral:rRNA from 1 species
AACGCGAAGAACCUUACCUGGGUUUGACAUGCACCAGACAUCCCUAGAGAUAGGGCUUCCCUUGUGGUUGGUGUGCAGGUGGUGCAUGGUUGUCGUCAGCUCGUGUCGUGAGAUGUUGGGUUAAGUCCCGCAACGAGCGCAACCCUUGUUCCGUUGCCAGCGGGUUAUGCCGGGGACUCGUGGGGGACUGCCGGGGUCAACUCUCGGAGGAAGGUGGGGAUGACGUCAAAUCAUCAUGCCCCUUAUGUCCAGGGCUUCACACAUGCUACAAUGGCCAGUACAGAGGGCUGCGAGACCGUGAGGUGGAGCGAAUCUCUUAAAGCUGGUCUCAGUUCGGAUUGGGGUCUGCAACUCGACCCCAUGAAGUUGGAGUCGCUAGUAAUCGCAGAUCAGCAACGCUGCGGUGAAUACGUUCCCGGGCCUUGUACACACC